rnacentral:misc_RNA from 1 species
UACGGAGGGUGCGAGCGUUAAUCGGAAUUAGUGGGCGUAAAGCGCGCGGAGGGGGUUAGGUAAGGUGGAUGUGAAAGCCCAGGGCUCAACCUUGGAACUGCAUUCAGGACUGGCUGGCUAGAGUACGAGAGAGGGUAGUGGAAUUUCCUGUGUAGCGGUGAAAUGCGUAGAUAUAGGAAGGAACAUCAGUGGCGAAGGCGACUGCCUGGCUCGAUACUGACGCUGAGGUGCGAAAGCGUGGGGAGCAAACAGG